AGAGCUUUAACGUAAUUUUAUUCGCUUUCUCUUCCAGUUUAACUUAUCUAGUCUAUCUAGUCCCGUAGCUCAGGUGGUUAGAGCGCUACACUGAUAAUGUAGAGGUCCGCGGUUCAAGUCCGCGCGGGACUACAUUAUCGUAUAGACUUGCGGGUUAGGAGGCAGGAAAGACAGAGGGGGGAUUAGCUCAGCUGGCUAGAGCGCCUGCCUUGCACGCAGGAGGUCGUCGGUUCGACUCCGACAUUCUCCACGACUCUUCUACAGUCUUCGUUUACGAAGGCGCCAGAAGGAUAAGUUCUUUGACAUGUUGGAAAAUCAAGUUUGUAAAUAAUUUUAAUUAAUUAUUCAAUAUAAUUUAAGUAGAAUAACAAGU
rnacentral:tRNA from 1 species